GACAUGGCCGAGUAGUUAAGGCGAUGGACUAGAAAUCCACUAGAAGCUGUCAGAACGCACAGGUUCAAAUCCUGUCGACUGCG
rnacentral:tRNA from 1 species